UACGUAGGGUGCGAGCGUUAAUCGGAAUUACUGGGCGUAAAGCGUGCGCAGGCGGCGCGUUAAGACAGGUGUGAAAGCCCCGAGCUUAACUUGGGAAUUGCGCUUGUGACUGGCGUGCUGGAGUGUGGCAGAGGGAGGUGGAAUUCCACGUGUAGCAGUGAAAUGCGUAGAGAUGUGGAGGAACACCGAUGGCGAAGGCAGCCUCCUGGGCCAGCACUGACGCUCAUGCACGAAAGCGUGGGUAGCGAAUGGG
rnacentral:rRNA from 1 species